rnacentral:rRNA from 1 species
GAUGAACGCUGGCGGCGUGCCUAAUACAUGCAAGUCGAGCGAACAGACGAGGAGCUUGCUCCUCUGACGUUAGCGGCGGACGGGUGAGUAACACGUGGAUAACCUACCUAUAAGACUGGGAUAACUUCGGGAAACCGGAGCUAAUACCGGAUAAUAUAUUGAACCGCAUGGUUCAAUAGUGAAAGACGGUUUUGCUGUCACUUAUAGAUAGAUCCGCGCCGCAUUAGCUAGUUGGUAAGGUAACGGCUUACCAAGGCAACGAUGCGUAGCCGACCUGAGAGGGUGAUCGGCCACACUGGAACUGAGACACGGUCCAGACUCCUACGGGAGGCAGCAGUAGGGAAUCUUCCGCAAUGGGCGAAAGCUUGACGGAGCAACGCCGCGUGAGUGAUGAAGGUCUUCGGAUCGUAAAACUCUGUUAUUAGGGAAGAACAAAUGUGUAAGUAACUAUGCACGUCUUGACGGUACCUAAUCAGAAAGCCACGGCUAACUACGUG